rnacentral:rRNA from 1 species
CAGCCGCCGCGGGAACACGAAGGGUGCAAGCGUUACUCGGAAUUACUGGGCGUAAAGCGUGCGUAGGUGGUGGUUUAAGUCCGUUGUGAAAGCCCUGGGCUCAACCUGGGAAUUGCAGUGGAUACUGGGUCACUAGAGUGUGGUAGAGGAUAGUGGAAUUUCCGGUGUAGCAGUAAAAUGCGUAGAGAUCGGAAGGAACAUCUGUGGCGAAGGCGACUAUCUGGGCCAACACUGACACUGAGGCACGAAAGCGUGGGGAGCAAACAGGAUUAGAUACCCCCGUAGUCCCUGUCUCUUAUAC